rnacentral:rRNA from 1 species
ACGGUAGAUACUUUCGGGUAGUUGAGAGUGGCGCACGGGUGCGUAACGCGUAUGAAACCGACCUUGUACGGGGGAAUAGCCCGGAAAAAUUGGGAUUAUUACCCCAUAGAAUUACCAGAUGGAAUCUGAAAGCAAUUAGAGAUUUAUCGGUGCAAGAUGGGCAUGCGUGACAUUAAUUAGUUGGUAGGGUAACGGCCUACCAAGACUAUGAUGUCUAGGGGUUCUGAGAGGAUGAUCCCCCACGCUGGUGCUGAGAUACCGACAAUACUCCUACAGGAGGCAGCGGUAAGUAAUAUUGGUCGAUGGGCGAGAGCCUGAACCAGCCAUGCCGGGUGCAAGAAGACCGUCUUCUGGGUUGUAAACUGCUUUUAUACGGAAAGAAAAGACCCUUGCAAGGGAGAUUGCCGGUACCGCCAUGAAUAAUAACCGGCUAACUCCUUGCCGCCAGCCGCCGUAAUACUAAGGGUGCAGGCGUUGUCCGGAUUAAUUGGUGUUUAAAGGAUGCGGAGGCGGCCCUUUAAUUCAACGGUGAAAGACUGCACCUUAUCUGUCUAACUGCCAUUGAUGCUGCAGGCCUUGAGUGUACUAGAGGAAGGCGAAAUUUAUGCUGUAGCGGCGAAAUGCUUAGAUACCAUAAAGAACACCGAUAGCGGAGGCAGCUUACUGCAGUACAACUGAUGAUGAUGAAGCAAAGCAUGGGGAGCGAACAAGAUUAUAUACCCUGCUGAUCCACGCCCCACACAAUGAUUACUCUAUGUUGGUGAUACACCUGUCAGCGUCCCAGCGAAAAUCAUUAAGUAAUCCACCUGGCGAG